CCACGGAACCCGGCGCCGAGAACCGUCACGCGGCAGUGCGUCUCACACGCGCGCGAGGUUGGGUAUAGUUGCU
rnacentral:tRNA from 1 species